rnacentral:rRNA from 1 species
CGCAAGGUUGAAACUCAAAGGAAUUGACGGGGGCCCGCACAAGCGGUGGAGUAUGUGGUUUAAUUCGAAGCAACGCGAAGAACCUUACCAGGGCUUGACAUCCCACUAACGAGGCAGAGAUGCGUUAGGUGCCCUUCGGGGAAAGUGGAGACAGGUGGUGCAUGGUUGUCGUCAGCUCGUGUCGUGAGAUGUUGGGUUAAGUCCCGCAACGAGCGCAACCCUUAUUGUUAGUUGCUACGCAAGAGCACUCUAGCGAGACUGCCGUUGACAAAACGGAGGAAGGUGGGGACGACGUCAAAUCAUCAUGCCCCUUAUGUCCUGGGCCACACACGUACUACAAUGGUGGUUAACAGAGGGAGGCAAUACCGCGAGGUGGAGCAAAUCCCUAAAAGCCAUCCCAGUUCGGAUUGCAGGCUGAAACCCGCCUGUAUGAAGUUGGAAUCGCUAGUAAUCGCGGAUCAGCAUGCCGCGGUGAAUACGUUCCCGGGCCUUGUACACACCGCCCGUCACACCAUGAGAGUCGGGAACACCCGAAGUCCGUAGCCUAACCGCAAGGAGGGCGCGGCCGAAGGUGGGUUCGAUAAUUGGGGUGAAGUCGUAACAAGGUAGCCGUAUCGGAAGGUGCGGCUG